UACAGAGGUCCCAAGCGUUGUUCGGAUUCACUGGGCGUAAAGGGUGCGUAGGCGGUCGGGUAAGUCUGAUGUGAAAUCUCUGGGCUUAACCCAGAAAUGGCAUUGGAUACUAUCUGGCUAGAGGAAUGGAGGGGAGACUGGAAUACUUGGUGUAGCAGUGAAAUGCGUAGAUAUCAAGUGGAACACCAGUGGCGAAGGCGAGUCUCUGGACAUUUCCUGACGCUGAGGCACGAAAGCUAGGGGAGCAAACAGG
rnacentral:rRNA from 1 species